AUUGAACGCUGGCGGCAUGCCUUACACAUGCAAGUCGAACGGUAACGGGCCUUCGGGUGCCGACGAGUGGCGAACGGGUGCGUAAUGCAUCGGAACGUACCUUUCAGUGGGGGAUAACGUAGCGAAAGUUACGCUAAUACCGCAUAUUCCGUGAGCAGGAAAGCAGGGGAUCGCAAGACCUUGCGCUGAUUGAGCGGCCGAUGUCAGAUUAGCUAGUUGGUGAGGUAAAGGCUCACCAAGGCGACGAUCUGUAGCGGGUCUGAGAGGAUGAUCCGCCACACUGGAACUGAGACACGGUCCAGACUCCUACGGGAGGCAGCAGUGGGGAAUUUUGGACAAUGGGGGCAACCCUGAUCCAGCCAUGCCGCGUGAGUGAAGAAGGCCUUCGGGUUGUAAAGCUCUUUCGGUCGGGAAGAAAUCGCAUGGGUUAAUACCCUGUGCGGAUGACGGUACCGGCAUAAGAAGCACCGGCUAACUACGUGCCAGCAGCCGCCGUAACAC
rnacentral:rRNA from 1 species